AUUUAGGACUUAGAUUGCAUUGGAACUAACUAACUAGCCACAGACUCAGAGAAAAGAAAAAAGGGAGAGUGGAAAAGAAAAGAAAACAAGCAUGAAGAGUUCAGUAGUGUAUGGUGGAUCACCUCGUGUUCCAGUUCCUCAUUCUUCCCUCCAAUUCCAAUCUCGCUCUUCACUUUCCCUGUUUCUGAUUCCAACACUCAGAACCAGAAAUCCCAAAUCACUAGCCAUUUCCUGCUCCUUCUCCGCCAACGACGCUCCUCCUCAUCUUCCUCCGGUGAAGCUGCUCCGGCGAAUCAUCGACUCCCCGGGGGUUCACCAAGGCCCUGCCUGCUUCGACGCCCUCAGUGCGAAGCUCGUUCAGGAUGCUGGCUUCCGAUUCUGCUUCACCAGUGGCUUCUCAAUCUCAGCCGUACGCUUGGGCUUGCCAGACACCGGUUUCUUAUCCUACGGCGAAAUGGUCGAUCAGGGACACCUCAUCACGCAAGCUGUUUCCAUUCCCGUCAUCGGAGACGCCGAUAACGGCUACGGAAACGCCAUGAACGUCAAGCGAACCGUCAAGGGUUUCAUCGCCGCUGGUUUUGCCGGAAUCAUUCUCGAAGAUCAGGUGUCUCCGAAAGCGUGUGGACACACACAAGGGAGGAAAGUGGUGUCAAGAGAAGAGGCGGUGAUGCGGAUCAAAGCUGCUGUUGAUGCUAGAAGAGAGAGUGGCUCUGAUAUUGUCAUUGUGGCACGAACAGAUGCUCGGCAAGCUUUGUCGUUGGAUGAGGCACUUGCCAGGUCAAGGGCUUUUGCAGAUGCUGGAGCUGAUGUUCUUUUCAUUGAUGCACUCGCUUCGAGACAAGAGAUGGAAGCUUUUUGUCAAGUUUCUCCCCUUGUUCCCAAAAUGGCCAAUAUGCUUGAAGGAGGGGGCAAGACACCGAUACUUAAUCCUCUUGAGCUUGAAGAAAUUGGUUAUAAACUCGUUGCGUAUCCACUUUCCUUGAUUGGGGUUUCUAUACGAGCAAUGCAGGAUUCACUCACUGCCAUUAAAGGAGGCCGCAUUCCUCCCCCAGGAAGCAUGCCUUCUUUUGAAGAAAUUAAGGAUAUCUUAGGUUUCAACACUUAUUAUGAAGAAGAAAAGCAUUAUGCUACAAGUACCAAUCAGCAGCUUUCAAAUAGAGAGAGCAGUAGCCUAUACAGUAUACAACAGAGAGAUCAAGUUGAUACAGAGCAGACAAGUCAAAGUGUCAAAGAUCCCAUUGUAGAAGUUAUAACACCUGAUGUGUACAAUAAAUAUGGUGCAGAUAGUUCAAGGGACCCUUUUUCUGGAAUCUGGUCUCGGACUCUCAGAAUAAAAAUAACCGGCAGAGAUGGAUACGAGAAACUUGAUCUCAGGAUUCCUGUAAGCUGGAUUUCUGGACGGAGUCACAAACAUGGUUCCUGCUUUGGGUGGGGUAAACCUUAAACAACUUUUGGAUGAUGCGGCAGAGGAAGUCGGGGGAAAACAGUUGUUAGAUUUUAAUGACAGAAUGGGUGACAGGAUUCAAGUAUUUCUGGAGUGAUUCAACGGUGCCUCAGCUAAUGUUCAAUGGAACAUUUGGAUGAGUAAACUGUCUCUUACAUUCGUUGAUGAUGCUGUUCCAGGGUUGAUGGGUCAUAUUGAUGAAGGUGAUAGGUGAGAAAGCUAAGGGUUAAAACCUGAUCAAGGCACAAAAGCAUGGUUGGCGGAAGGGCUGAAGCAGGGCGUGUUUUAUUUUGCUAAUGUCAUUGGAAAUGGAAACUAGUCGUGAUUUGUUCUAUGAAUACUUUAAAAAGAGACAGUUAAGUCACAACUACAUUCAUAAAUGAUAAAUGGGAAUUUAUUACCAAAAAUAUUUAAUAUCA